GGCGGGAUACACCAACCACGAUACUCUUGAAGAUGCCUUGUUUUCUUUAAAACAGUUUGAAAAAAAGUCGACUACGAGAUAUGUCGUCGGAAACGCAACCAAGCACUUUGGUAAAAUAGAACUGAGAGUCGAAAGACAGAACAAACUGUUGUGGAAUGAUUGUACUCCAUACAUGGUGCUUGGAAGGAAGGUGCUAUUUUGCCACCAUGGGAAAGAUUACCACCGGAAAAGCAAGGAAAGGAAAAAAAACGUGCAGAAGCUGAUCACGCCAACUAUUUUAAGAAAGGCCGAUUACGUGUGAGAGACACCAAAAAACUUAAUUGUAGCGCGAAAGCUGUGAUCAGCGAGAUAUUAAUAUUUCCCGAAGCAAAG